AUACUUACCUUGAAGAGAAGAUAUCAUGAUCACACAGACAAUUUUCCCAGGGUAAGGCUUAUCCAUUGCACUCCAGAAGUGCUGACCCCUGAAACUUUCCCAAUGUGGGAAAAUUGACAGCAUGAUAUGUGCUAGUGAGGGCCUAACAUUUUCACUUUCC
ensembl:snRNA U1 U1 spliceosomal RNA